AUGUGGCAGAUACUGAUGGGAGAGAGGAGCUGCCUUAGUCAAACUCUUUUGAGAAAUGUCAAAUGACAACAAAAGGCAAGACUACUUUUUCUUUGCGUGACAAUUCUUCCAACAGUGAAAUGUUGAAUAGCAGGUUAUGACCAGUCUUGGGAGCAGAGGUGGAGCUGAAGUGGAAAUCAGCUGAUCAGAUGUGAGGGUCCCAGGAGGCCUGUCCAGGACAGGAACUAAGCAUAUUUGGCCAGAAACAACACAGUGACUCCCAGUGUGAAGCACGGAGCUACAGCAGCCAUCUUAGGACCGUGUGGGGAGCUGGCCUAGAAGGACAAACCAGUACUCUGAAGGUAAGGUGGCAAGAACCUGAGCCCUUAGUGACUCAAUUUUGCUGGUCAAUUAACUAACUGGAAUCAUCUGACCUCCAGAAUUCUUGCUAUACGAGAUGAUUCCUUUCACAGCUGUGUACGCCGUUUUGAGUUGGGCUUUCAGUGAUUUGCAUCAGGAGGCUUCUCGAGGGACAGCCCACACUCUCACACUGCGACACACACCUGGGGCAGCGGAUCAAACCCAAACAAGAGGAGCAGGGACUAAAUUCACAACCGGUUGGCCGCUCCCCUGGAUCUUCCAGAAAAACUGUGGUUGGCCUCUCCCCAACUUCCAGAGGACAAGGGUCCAGGGGCAAUGGGAUGUGGUCUGGCACUUAGGAACCGAAGAAGAGUUCCUGCUUUACACCGAGAGUUCAGCUUUUGACGUCAUUCGUGUAGUUACUCAUUACAAGUGUGUAGACACUAGGUAGGAUGUAAGGACAAACAGCGCUGUAGAACAAACAGGGUGCAUCUUCUGGGGCCCCUCCCUUCCACGCUCACCAAUCCCCUUGUUGGUGCCAACCCCACCCCUCUCCACAGGUACGGGUCCCUCUUGCAGACUCUUUGACAGGAGGUAGAAUUCUGUACCAUCUGAGAGUUUGUGUGUGGGCUGGAUCAGGCCCAGCGUGGACCUUGCACACUAAAAAAUCAGAGUGAGCUCUUAAACAGCACCCUUCUGCUUUGGGGUGAACUCUAUUCCCUAGCCUAUUCCACACCCACUCGGAACCUAAAGAAGGGCUGGAGUCAGACUGUCCUACAGAGAUCCAUUGAUUCAUUCAAAGAGGAGCUCACCAUGCCCUAUUUAAACCUCUGUGGUUUUUUAAAAGUUUUUAUUUAAAUACCAGUUAGUCAACCUACAGUGUAAUAUUAGUUUCAGACCUACAAUAUGGUGAUUCAACACUUCUAUACAUUACUCAGUGCUCGUCACAACAAGUGCACUCCUUAAUCCCGCCACCUAUUUCACCCAUCCCCCCAUCCACUUCCCUUCUGGUAACCAUCAGUUUAUAGUUAAGAGUUUGUUUCUCUACAGUUAGGAGUUUGUUUCUUGGUUUGCCUCUCUCUCUGUCCCUCUUUCUCUUUUUUUCCCCCUUAUUCGUUUUAAACCUCUGUGAUGUUGCACAUUCUAUUUACUCUCCUUGCUCACCUGCCGAGCUCAUACUCACUCUUCAAGGCCAGCUGAAAUAUCAUCUCCUCCAUGAAGCCACCAUAAUUCCCAGUCUCUCUUCACACCAUUAUCCCUCCUUGACAAAAGAGAUCACCUCUUUCUCCACACUCCCCGCAUGGUUUGGACACAUCUUUGUUCACUUGGUAUUGAAAAUCAUUUGCUUGUGUGUGUGUAUUUCUCUCUCACACAUUGCUACUCUAAUAUGAGUAUACAUAUGACUGAGAAAACCGUAAUUUCGAAAAGAUUAAAAUAAGCCCUUUAUGAGGAUAUAUAACAAACUCCUACAAUCAACAAUAAAAAUAACAAAUACCCAAUUAAAAAUGUGCAAAGGACCUAAAUCAACAUUUCU